rnacentral:lncRNA from 1 species
UUUUGAACAAACCAAGUGUCUUCCCAGCAAAAUAACUCCCCGCGCACGCAGCGCCGGCGAGCAGCGGUACCGGAGGCGGACACGAGCGGCACAGAGCUUGUGUAAUAGGCCUUGUGCUUUGCUCCCGCCUCGAUGGAAAAUCAUUACACAGUAAUGGAUGAGCCGGUUCGGAAGGAGCGCCGCUGGGGUGCCGCUCGCCUUCUUUCGGAGAUGCGGCAUAUGAGAGGAAGUAGCGGGAGGCCUGCCAACUUUCCCAAUUUAAUUAUUAAGCUGUCGGUUCCUGACUUCUUGUUUUCCACUUCCCGAGGCAACAUCUGGCUGUAAUAACAAAAAUAAAUAAUUAACAUAAAAUUUGAUCAUUC